rnacentral:rRNA from 1 species
GAUGAACGCUAGCGGCAGGCUUAACACAUGCAAGUCGAGGGGUAACAGGGUGCUUGCACCGCUGACGACCGGCGCACGGGUGCGUAACGCGUAUAGAACCUACCUUUUACAGGAGAAUACCCCAGAGAAAUUUGGAAUAAUGCUCCAUAGUAUUAUUGAAUGGCAUCAUUUGAUAAUUAAACAUUUAUGGGUAAAAGAUGGCUAUGCGUUCUAUUAGCUAGAUGGUAAGGUAACGGCUUACCAUGGCAACGAUAGAUAGGGGUCCUGAGAGGGAGAUCCCCCACACUGGUACUGAGACACGGACCAGACUCCUACGGGAGGCAGCAGUGAGGAAUAUUGGACAAUGGAGGCAACUCUGAUCCAGCCAUGCCGCGUGCAGGAAGACGGUCCUAUGGAUUGUAAACUGCUUUUAUACAGGAAGAAACACUCCCUCGUGAGGGAGCUUGACGGUACUGUAUGAAUAAGCACCGGCUAACUCCGUGCCAGCAGCCGCGGUAAUACGGAGGGUGCAAGCGUUAUCCGGAAUCAUUGGGUUUAAAGGGUCCGUAGGCGGGCUAAUAAGUCAGGGGUGAAAUCCAACAGCUUAACUGUUGAAUUGCCUUUGAUACUGUUAGUCUUGAGUUAUAUGGAAGUAGAUAGAAUGUGUAGUGUAGCGGUGAAAUGCUUAGAGAUUACACAGAAUACCGAUUGCGAAGGCAGUCUACUACG